rnacentral:lncRNA from 1 species
UGACCUGGCCCUCCCUCCUCCUGACUAUGGCACGUCCUCCCGGGCAUUCCCCAGUCAGACAGCUGGGACUUUCAAGCAAAGACCCUACAGUGUGGCAGUUCCUGCCUUCUCUCAGGGUCUGGAUGACUACGGGGCACGGUCUGUGAGCAGAAACAGGCACACUGGACUCAGUGGCUACUGGUUUUGUCUCUUCACACACUGAAUUCUGGGCAGCGGAGCCCAAGGCCCAGUGGGCUCAGCCCUACAGCUGGCAGAAGCCCCUGGGAAGCCGCGGACGCACCUCUGAUGUGGUUAGCAAAACCCAGCAAGCCUGCUGAGGACUAGGGCGUGGCUGGUCCAGUCUGACAGCAGCAGCAGCUCAGACACAGACAGACCCUGUUUUAUAUUUAAGGAAAACACA